CCAUCAACUGGGCCUUUUGGCUAAGAUCAAGUGUAGUAUCUGUUCUUAUCAGUUACACACAUUUCUUUUAUGUGACAAACACCCUUUCCAGAAACAAACAAAAAAAAAUUGGAAGGAGUGGUUAUUUAUUUGGCUUAGAAUUCCAGGAUAUAGCACCCCACUUUGGGAGUUCAAUGAACU
rfam:Cricetulus griseus cell line CHO-K1, whole genome shotgun sequence.